rnacentral:rRNA from 1 species
UACGUAGGGGGCAAGCGUUGUCCGGAUUUAUUGGGCGUAAAGAGCGUGUAGGCGGUUAGGCGGGUCCGUUGUGAAAACUCGAGGCUCAACCUCGAGACGCCGAUGGAAACCAUCUAACUAGAGUCCGGAAGAGGAGAAUGGAAUUCCUGGUGUAGCGGUGAAAUGCGCAGAUAUCAGGAAGAACACCCGUGGCUAAGGCGGUUCUCUAGUACGGUACUGACGCUGAGACGCGAAAGCGUGGGGAGCGAACAGG